AUUGUUUCUACAUGACACCUGCACGAUGUAAUCAAUUAAUUGCUACAGUUUCUGAACAAGACCUCGUCUGUUUCAUUUUCCUUAAAUUGAACACAAGGUGGGAAACGUUCCGCACCCUUUUUCGCACCAGUGGCUGCAGACCACGGGAGCAACAACCAGCAGCAGCUCCGUCGUAACUGCACCGAGAAAAGCCACUGAUUUCAUAUGGAAGAACUUUCGGUGAACGGCUCGCGUCGACCGGCGUCGUCCAAUGAAGACGUGCAGAGUGGAAACGAAGCGCUUUGAUUGGCUGCCACGACUCGGUCGCUUUCCGUCCGAGGGAGUUGCCUCAAAACUUUUUUUCGAGAGAGAGGGAGAGAGAGAAAGAGAGAGGUAGAGAGAGAGAGAGAGAGAGAGAGAGAGAGAGAGUGCAUCCCUUGCGCUCGCCGACUCAGAAGAGGGCAGCGCACAAGCGCAGAGACGGAGUCAGAGGGCUGGGAGAACGAACGCAGGAGGGGUGUCCCAUCCACGAAGUGUCCCUGGAGGAACUCAGCCUGCAAACUUAUUUAAGUUAUGGCUGCAUGAAAUAAGCCUUUUUUUUUUGGUUACUUUUUUUUUCUCUCUUCUGGGAUCUUGGGCACGAGCUGUGCCUGAUCACACGUUGCGAUACAUUAUUAUACAGACAAAGCAGUACUUUUUAACGCUUGCCGUGGACGGCACUCGGUGGCCAUGGAUACCGAUAUAAGAUGGAAAAUAAAACGGUGGAUAACGUCUCUGCACAUCACUUUAUCAGUAGUUCUUCUGUGUGUCACUUCGAAUGUCAGCUCAGUCUCGUGCCUCUCCAUCUUAGGAGGGAUCUUGGGACACCCGCCCCCCCCAACAUUACUCUACAUUCUCCACUUCUCAAUGAAAGAUACACUACUUAGAAGAAGGCAUUUCCCAUUGUUGUCGCGA
rnacentral:lncRNA from 1 species